CGUGUGUGAAGAAGGCCUUCGGGUUGUAAAGCACUUUCGGACGGAACGAAAUCGCGCGCAUGAACAAUGCGCGUGGAUGACGGUACCGUAAGAAGAAGCACCGGCUAACUACGUGCCAGCAGCCGCGGUAAUACGUAGGGUGCAAGCGUUAAUCGGAAUUACUGGGCGUAAAGGGUGCGCAGGCGGCCUCGCAUGUCAGGCGUUGAAAUCCCCGGGCUCAACCUGGGAAUGGCGCUUGAAACUACGAGGCUGGAGUGUGGCAGAGGGAGGUGGAAUUCCACGUGUAGCGGUGAAAUGCGUAGAGAUGUGGAGGAACACCGAUGGCGAAGGCAGCCUCCUGGGCCAACACUGACGCUCAUGCACGAAAGCGUGGGGAGCAAACAGGAUUAGAUACCCUGGUAGUCCACGCCCUAAACGAUGACGACUAGUUGUUGGGGGAGUUAAAUCCCUUAGUAACGCAGCUAACGCGUGAAGUCGUCCGCCUGGGGAGUACGGUCGCAAGAUUA
rnacentral:rRNA from 1 species